CAGUGUAGAAAGCCCAGGCAUUGUCCCAUAGCUGGCCCUGUGUGUUUGCACUGAUUCCUCAGAAUAAGUUUGCAGAUAGCUUAACUUCCAGAAUUCCUGAGUUUCACUAGUCCCCCUUCUUUAUGAUGAAUUGGAAAAAGGGUAUAUUCUGGGAUAAAGCAAGAGGAAACUGGGUGCAGCAAAGAUCCCUAGACCAUUUUUCCCAGUGGCCCAUUGCUCCUGCUGCUUUUUUCAUACCAGCUGAAUCUCCCUAAACCCCACGUCUGCGGCAAAGUCUUCGUGGUGAAACAGGCAGUCUUCAGUACAAGAAGCGUCAAUCUCAGAUCUUACUCAUUUCCAACCUGUACCAAUCAAAGGCCCUCCCAGCCAAGAUAAAAGCAAAGUCUCCCUCCUCCAGAGCACAUGGGAAUGGCCCCCCAGUAGCUGGGGCAUGCAAGCUAAUGAAGUUUCAUCUUCCACCUCUAUCCAAAUAUGACCUUGCUGAUACCAUCUCCUAUUAGAUGACAAAUCCGGAUGUUUCUAUUGCAUGGUUGUUAUUUGCCACAUGCUUCCUGGACAAGUUUCUAGGUAACCUUAAUGUCUGUGCUUCUGGGGAAGGAGGAGUAGAAAAUAACUCACCUCUUCAGUAAGUGGUUUUAAAAAUAUAACAGUGUUUAAAAGCUUUUAGAGAGCAGCUCUCCUUCCGGCUGCUCCAGCUCUGUUUGCUUUGUGAUAGGAGCCCCCGUAACACUUCGUGCUUGGCAACAUCUGACGCAGCUGCCAUGUGUCAGGACACUCAGGCAGCCUGUGGAAAGCUGCACAUGGUGAGGAACAGAGGGCUCCAGUCAAACGACCAAUGCCAACAACCAUG
rnacentral:lncRNA from 1 species